UGCUCAUGGAGAGAUCACAGUCACUGUGGUCUGAAGAAAACAUGUUGCCACACAGAAAGAACACAUGUCAGUUUUCUGGUAGUAAUGCCAGAUGAUAAACAGCUUCAAGUACCAGACUUAUACCGAGGAUCUGGGGGUACAGAAGUGGGUUAUUUGUGAUCACUGAGAAGUUUGAAAAAAAGGAGAUUAAUCACACAACUCCACUGCAGUAGAAUUGAAAAGUGUCUGUGGGUGGGCACAAUGAAUGACAGGUUUAUACUAUGAGGAACAGAAUGAAUCCAGGAGACAGAGACACUGCAUUGCCUUCCUUGAAUCAUCCAUCUACGGUGCCAUGUUACUCAGAAAUUAAUGUAAUUCCAUAAAUGAAUAAUGACGUAAAUGUCCUCUUAAUAAUUGUUAAUGCACAAGCAUAUUCUUAUUCUAAUAAUCAGAAAAAUUGA